rnacentral:rRNA from 1 species
UGGGGAAUAUUGCACAAUGGGCGCAAGCCUGAUGCAGCCAUGCCGCGUGUAUGAAGAAGGCCUUCGGGUUGUAAAGUACUUUCAGCGGGGAGGAAGGCGAUAAGGUUAAUAACCUUGUCGAUUGACGUUACCCGCAGAAGAAGCACCGGCUAACUCCGUGCCAGCAGCCGCGGUAAUACGGAGGGUGCAAGCGUUAAUCGGAAUUACUGGGCGUAAAGCGCACGCAGGCGGUCUGUCAAGUCGGAUGUGAAAUCCCCGGGCUCAACCUGGGAACUGCAUUCGAAACUGGCAGGCUAGAGUCUUGUAGAGGGGGGUAGAAUUCCAGGUGUAGCGGUGAAAUGCGUAGAGAUCUGGAGGAAUACCGGUGGCGAAGGCGGCCCCCUGGACAAAGACUGAUGCUCAGGUGCGAAAGCGUGGGGAGCAAACA